rnacentral:snoRNA from 15 species
CCCUGCAUCCGAAAGUGACCGUGGGCUGCAGUGUCCCGGUCAUUGAUAGUGCAGGGAGAGGAAUUGUGGAAAGCCUUUCCCCGUGUUUGGAGGGUCUGCUCCUGUCCCUCCCAGACCCUGGAGCUUUCCCACA